rnacentral:misc_RNA from 1 species
AAGUCGUAACAAGGUUUCCGUAGGUGAACCUGCGGAAGGAUCAUUACCGAAACGGACUCUUAGUUGUCUAACUCGGCUAAGGUAGCCCAAUGAUUCGUAUACUAGUGGCUUGCUGUAGGGGUGGUGGUAACACUCUCCUACACAAGUCCAUAUGUUUGUUAACCAUUACCUGGUGGUGCGAAAGUGUCACCAGGCGUUUUUCAAACGUUUUCUCAUGCUAUUCUUAAAAGUGUGUGCGAGCUCGAAAGAGCGAGUGUGCACUAUAAAUAAACUUAAAUUAAAGCACGACUGCAAACGGUGGAUCACUCGGUUC